GUCAAAGACAAGAUGGCUGACGUAAAUAUGGCGUCCUACUAGCUGGAUAGUGACGCUUGUAUUUAACUUGGUUAAACUGAUUAAUUUUAUUAAUUUCAGAUAAUUGCAGCUUAUAAGAUACUUUGAAUUCUAAAAGUAUAGGUUGGGUUCGUGUUAUGGCGACGCCAAACAGUUACAAACAAAACACAUCGAUGUCGAUGCCAAGCCCUCAGAGCAAUCCGCACUACAUGAUUGCGGGGCCCCCCAUGAGUUUCGGUAUGAUGAAAGGCGGUAUGAAUGCACCGCCGCCGCACCAUAACCAAUACCAGUACCACCACCC